AAGACAGAUCGGGCAAUCGCGGUGCUUCGUGCAUCGAGGAAGGUCCGGACUCCACAGGGCGGGAUAACGGUUAACGACCGUCCGUCGUCCCAUGCGCAAGCGUGUGGACGGCGAGGACUAGGGCCACAGAGACGAGUCUGCAGUGAGGGUGUGCCGCAAGGCGCGCACCGCCACGGUGUAGCCGUGGUGUAGGGUUCGCUUGUCGAGCCUGGCAUUGCAGGGUGAAACGCGGCAACCUCUAUCCGGAGCAACACCAAAUAGGCAUGCGUGUGGUUUCGGCCACGACGGGCGGCUCCGUCCAAGUAUGCGGGUAGGUGGCUAGAGCAUUUCAGCAAUGAAAUGCCCAGAGGAAUGAUUGCCGACCCAUGCAAAUGGGUUUACAGAAUCCGGCCUAUAGAUCUGUCUUGCAC
rnacentral:RNase_P_RNA from 1 species